GGAUCCUGGGACAAGAGACAGUACUUAGUGUCAUAAGAAGCAAAACUGAUUCACCAUCAUUGGCACAUGGAAUUAGUAAGAGAUAUAAUGAGAGAUAGUAACCGUCAAUAUUAAGCAUAUACUUACUGUGUACCAUGGCACUAUGCUAGAACUUUUAAACCUUACAACAACCUCUGAAGUGUAGGUACUGCUUUCAUUCUCAUUUCACAGAUGAGGAAACUGAGGCUCAGAGGACUAUAACUGAUGAGGGUCACACAGCUCGAAGGUAGCAGAGCUGUUUUUAACUUCUAUAUGAUUUUUGCCAUUUGGAUGCCAGCUUUGAAUGAAGGAAGGGUUACAGAAUGGUGAUGAUUUCUCCCUCCACAAAGAAGUCACAUAUGAGUUUAUCCUGGUGGAACUCAAAAGGACUGUUGACUGCGUAACAUUACCUUGCUGAGCUUUGGGAUCCUAACGUGGACACCAGCCCGUAAUCCUGUGCCAAGGUUCGAAGGGCAGGUCAGAAUAUAUCCUAGUCGCUCAUUCCACAUGAACUCCCAGCCUCGCGCUUGGAUUAAGCGUUCCACCUACAGCAGUGAACAAACGGAGUUCUUAAGUAUCCAUUUACUUGGUACAUCCGCAACACCAGGGAGAGACAUGUGUACUGUAUGUCUGCCAUGAGUGAGAUUCAGGCAAAUUUAUAUUACUUCCUUAAUGGAAAAGGAUACUUCUAUCCAAAUAUUAAAAUGAGUCAAUUAAAUUAGAUGAAGCAGGUACAGCACUGAAUGCAGUACUAGCACAUCCUAAAUAUUCAAUGAAUGUCCGUUGCUGUUAUUUUUCAUACGAGAAUAAUAGGAGAAUGUAGGAAUUCUCAGCAGGUAAGGCUGUGGUCAGGUUACUUAGGAACAUAGUUACAUCCUGUACUGUCUCUAUGCUUAGAAUCACCAGGAGCACUGUUAAGGAAACUGGAUCAUAAGUAAUGAUCCACAGACUUCCCUGAACCAUUCUGGACUGGGGAGAAGGGCAGAGGAGACUUUUUUUUUUUUAACUAGUAAAUUCCUAUUUUUGAAGCCCUGGCCUGGUAGUCCCGCCCUCAGAGAGUGCCAUGAUCCUAAAGAAAAUUAGCCUCAUCCUGGUAAUCACCAUAGUGUCUUCUGUUAAGAAUGAAGAAGUGAUUUCAUUUUAAUGAAAAUUCAGAAAUCUCUGGUAACAUCUUACCUCUUUCAGUCCUCGACAGAAUCGCUCAAAUACUCUUUUCAUAUUGCCUCCUUUUUCCAUAGAGAUUACCCUGGUGUGGUCUUCCUCAUUAAUCCAGAUGAGAAAGGUCUUGUCAUAAUUAUGCCUAAUGAAAGGAGAAAUACGGUGUUGCGUGUCAAAUCCAUUUGUUUCAACACAUGAAGAUUCCCUUUACUCCUGUGGCUUCAUUGCUUCAUUUCACCUUCCUCAUUCCUACAAAGCCCUAAGCUUUUUACUGUGCCUGAACAAGUGCUACAAAAUAAUGUUACCGUGACAGAACAAACAACAAGACCAACUCCAACCCUUAAAGAUGUACUGUUUUUUUCCCCAACAAGAAUAUCAUCUUCCCCAGUCCUUGGACAAGGAGGACAAUAAUUCAGCUAUGGAUAACAUUUGGCUUUGGCACUAACAAGAGUAUUCUAAGAGGCUCAACCAAAAUCUUGUGGCGCUUCAAGAAAGUUUUUUUACCUGCAGCCCAGGAGGUUUGGGAUGCAGAAGAUCUCACAUAUGUUUACUGCCUAGAUCCUGCCUAUCCACACACACGGAGCAUCUGCUCACGAACACACUUAUCGCAGCUCCUUCGGAGAGUGUCAGAAUAACCUACCAAAGUACACGGGAAUCAAAGUGGACUGAGGACUUUGGCCAAGAUAAAAUACGUGUAUACUCGAUAUCCAUUCUUCCUUGUAGGGUUUUGCUUAAGUCCUCGAAACUUUUCAUUUUCUGCUCUUUUGUUUUAAAGUCAUGAAACAGAUUCUCUGUGAGGUCAAAUAAUAUGAAGCUAAUUUUUCUUAAAAAUAGUCUUUCUCAUGCAUAAUUCAUGCAAACCAGCGAACAUUCUUACAUAUCUUAGAUACAUCACCAUACUGUGGAAUGACACACACACAAAUUUCUACAGUCUCUCUCUCCCCCAUUUAACUCAAGCCGGGCAUGCUGUCAGCUGCGGCUCACAGCAACUGCAGGUUAGGAGAAGCAGGUGAUCUGAAGGAGAUCGUCUGUACACACUGCAAAUGUGAAAAUGCUGUGUCCAUACCAGAUUCCCCUGGCAUCUGGCCAGUCACGGGCCAUCCCAGCACAUGUUAGUAAGGGGGAUACUGGCUUAUCAAAUAGAAAGUGGUCCUGCAGGCCAGAACGGACAAAGCAGAAAGGAAAAAAUGAUGAGAUCAGACACAACUACAUGUGCCAGGUCUGUCAGACAGUGGUUCUCAGCCUUGGCCGCCCACUGGAACAACCUGGGUUUUUUUUUUUUUAAAUAUGAAUGUUCCUGCCCCCCAGAGAUUCUGUCCUAAUUGUUAUGGGGUGUGGCCUGGACAGUGGGAUUUUUUAAAAGCUCUUCAGAUGAUUCUAGCUUACAGCUAAGGUUGAAAUCCACUGGCUUAGCCCAGAUGGAAACAAUCACUAUGAAUUAUAUUUAUCCACCAGCACCAAUGCUAUGCAGUGUUGGAGCAGGCAGUGAGUGAGGGACACGCUCCUGGAAAGGCUGGUAUACACAGCCACCAUUCUCUACAUGUCCGGCAUUAGUGGAUCUCUUAUUACUAUCCUUCCUUUCACUAACAAGUAUUGGAGAUGUAAAACAAUGGAUUAUAAAUAAAAAUAUCUACCAUUAAUUCAA